rnacentral:lncRNA from 1 species
UUGAUUCUUCGACAAUAUCUUUUUUCAAUUGAAUUAAAAUAUUCAUUGUGACUUUUCAUUCAUUACUAUAAUCGAUUAAAUUUUCAACAAGGAUUAAACAAUCGUGUAAAAUCUGCGCAGCUUGAGAAAUAAAUUAAAGUUGUUAAAAUAAGGUUUAGACUUUUAGUUCCCACCAAAGAGUAAAUAUUUAUUCAUAUCUCGUAAAGCCAAGUUUGAAACCAACUCUACUACGUAUAACUGUUUUAC